rnacentral:rRNA from 1 species
GACCCCGCACAAGCGGUGGAGCAUGUGGUUUAAUUCGAUGAUACGCGAGGAACCUUACCAGGGCUUAAAUGUAGUCUGACAGGGGUGGAAACACCCCUCCUUCGGGCAGAUUACAAGGUGCUGCAUGGUUGUCGUCAGCUCGUGCCGUGAGGUGUCAGGUUAAGUCCUAUAACGAGCGCAACCCCCUGCCGUUAGUUGCCAGCAUGUAAUGAUGGGAACUCUAACGGGACUGCCGGUGCAAACCGCGAGGAAGGUGGGGAUGACGUCAAAUCAUCACGGCCCUUACGUCCUGGGCUACACACGUGCUACAAUGGCCGGUACAGAGGGCAGCCACACGCAAGGUGGAGCGAAUCCUUAAAACCGGUCUC